rnacentral:snoRNA from 17 species
CCCAUUGAUGAUGAUGAUCUGAUCAGCUAUAUCAUUGCUGGUCUUGAUGAAGAAUAUGUGCCGGUAAUCUCGUCCAUUGUUGGGCGACCAGAUCAGGUGACCGUCAGUGAGGCCUUUGCUUAGUUGAUA